AACGAACGCUGGCGGCAGGCUUAACACAUGCAAGUCGAACGGUUGUAGCAAUACAGCAGUGGCGCACGGGUGAGUAUCGCGUGGAUAUCUGCCUUUUGGUUCGGAAUAACUCCGGGAAACUGGAGCUAAUACCGGAUGGUUCCUACGGGAUAAAGAUUUAUCGCCAAAAGAUGAGUCCGCGUACGAUUAGCUAGUUGGUGAGGUAAUGGCUCACCAAGGCGACGAUCGUUAGCUGGUCUGAGAGGACGAUCAGCCACACUGGGACUGAGACACGGCCCAGACUCCUACGGGAGGCAGCAGUGGGGAAUAUUGGACAAUGGGGGCAACCCUGAUCCAGCCAUGCCGCGUGAGUGAUGAAGGCCUUCGGGUUGUAAAGCUCUUUUGGCGGGGACGAUGAUGACGGUACCCGCAGAAUAAGCCCCGGCUAACUUCGUGCCAGCCGCCGCCGUAA
rnacentral:rRNA from 1 species